rnacentral:rRNA from 1 species
CCUACGGGUGGCAGCAGUAGGGAAUAUUGCUCAAUGGGGGAAACCCUGAAGCAGCAACGCCGCGUGGAGGAUGAAGGUUUUCGGAUUGUAAACUCCUUUUGUUAGAGAAGAUAAUGACGGUAUCUAACGAAUAAGCACCGGCUAACUCCGUGCCAGCAGCCGCGGUAAUACGGAGGGUGCAAGCGUUACUCGGAAUCACUGGGCGUAAAGAGUGCGCAGGCGGGAUAGCAAGUCAGAUGUGAAAUCCUGUGGCUUAACUAUAGAACUGCAUUUGAAACUGUUAUUCUAGAGUGUGGGAGAGGUAGGUGGAAUUCUUGGUGUAGGGGUAAAAUCCGUAGAGAUCAAGAGGAAUACUCAUUGCGAAGGCGACCUACUGGAACAUAACUGACGCUGAUGCGCGAAAGCGUGGGGAGCAAACAGGAUUAGAUACCCCUGUAGUC